rnacentral:rRNA from 1 species
UAAGCAUAUCAAUAAGCGGAGGAAAAGAAACCAACAGGGAUUGCCCCAGUAACGGCGAGUGAAGCGGCAACAGCUCAAAUUUGAAAUCUGGCCUUCGGGUCCGAGUUGUAAUUUGGAGAGGAUGCUUUUGGCGCGGCGCCGUCCGAGUUCCUUGGAACAGGACGCCAUAGAGGGUGAGAGCCCCGUACGGGCGGCCGCCUAGCCUUUGUAAAGCUCCUUCGACGAGUCGAGUAGUUUGGGAAUGCUGCUCAAAAUGGGAGGUAAAUUUCUUCUAAAGCUAAAUACCGGCCAGAGACCGAUAGCGCACAAGUAGAGUGAUCGAAAGAUGAAAAGCACUUUGAAAAGAGGGUUAAAAAGUACGUGAAAUUGUUGAAAGGGAAGCGCCUGUGACCAGACUUGCGACCCGUGGAUCAUCCGGUGUUCUUCACCGGUGCACUCCGCGGGCUGCAGGCCAGCAUCGGUUUUCCUAGGGGGUUAAAGGUCGCAGGAACGUAGCUCUUUCGGGAGUGUUAUAGCCUGUGGCGUCAUGCCUCUGGGGAGACCGAGGACCGCGCUUCGGCAAGGAUGCUGGCGUAAUGGUCACCGGCGACCCGUCUUGAAACACGGACCAAGGAGUCAAGCAUUGGGGCGAGUGUCUGGGUGCCAAACCCGCACGCGAAAUGAAAGUAAACGCAGGUGAGAGCUUCGGCGCAUCACCGACCGAUCCUGAUGUCUUCGGAUGGAUUUGAGUAAGAGCCUUACCGCUUGGACCCGAAAGAUGGUGAACUAUGCCUGUAUAGGGUGAAGCCAGAGGAAACUCUGGUGGAGGCUCGCAGCGGUUCUGACGUGCAAAUCGAUCGUCAAAUAUGGGCAUGGGGGCGAAAGACUAAUCGAACCAUCUAGUAGCUGGUUACCGCCGAAGUUCCCCUCAGGAAAA